CACGUAGUUAGCCGGUGCUUAUUCUUCGGGUACCGUCAUUAGCCGAAGGUAUUAACCUCAGCCGUUUCUUCCCUGACAAAAGAGCUUUACAACCCGAAGGCCUUCUUCACUCACGCGGCAUUGCUGGAUCAGGCUUGCGCCCAUUGUCCAAAAUUCCCCACUGCUGCCUCCCGUAGGAGUCUGGACCGUGUCUCAGUUCCAGUGUGGCUGGUCGUCCUCUCAGACCAGCUACUGAUCGUCGCCUUGGUGAGCCUUUACCCCACCAACUAGCUAAUCAGACAUCGGCCGCUCCAAAGCAUGAGGCCCGAAGGUCCCCCACUUUCUUCCGUAGAACGUAUGCGGUAUUAGCGCAACUUUCGCUGCGUUAUCCCCCAUUCUGGUACGUUCCGAUGUAUUACUCACCCGUUCGCCACUCGCCACCAGGCCGAAGCCCGUGCUGCCGUUCGACUUGCAUGUGUAAAGCAUGCCGCCAGCGUUCAAUCUGAGCCAGGAUCAAACUCU
rnacentral:rRNA from 1 species